UGGCUGCUGGACAAAUGGACUGUGGAUCC
rnacentral:piRNA from 1 species